CUGGGACCCAAGUGGGAGCACUCAGGCCCCACACUAAUGUCCCCUUCUGGGAGGUGGCCCAUCAUUCAGCAGGACUCCUGGCCCCCCUGCCCUCCCUUCUUCCUGUGGAGUCUCUGAGGCUGGAGUUCUGUGAAGGUUCUGGUGAAUUUUCGGCGUGGAUGAGGCAUGGUCAGAAGAGCAGGCACCCUUUGAAACUCUUGCCCUCACCCAUGACUGUUUGACUUCUCAUGUGAGCAGAAAGGAGAUGUUUUGGGUCAAAUUCAACUCACCAUCUUCUCUUCAGGCCUCAUCGGUCUUGCCAGGACCUCAGAUUCACUGUCUUGCUGCUGACUUCGUGAAGACAUUUUUAUUUUGCAGAAGGACACGAGGAGAGACUCUGCAUUGGGAGUGUGCAUGGCAGGGAGAAGGUCCAUAGAAGGAGAGGGGUCUGCAUCUCACAAACCUCUUAGAUUCCACAGGAGGGAUGUGACAGUCCCCAUGAAAGAA